UACGAAGGGGACUAGCGUUGUUCGGAAUCACUGGGCGUAAAGCGCACGUAGGCGGUCUUUUAAGUCGGGGGUGAAAUCCUGGAGCUCAACUCCAGAACUGCCUUCGAUACUGAAAGACUUGAGUCCGGGAGAGGUGAGUGGAACUGCGAGUGUAGAGGUGAAAUUCGUAGAUAUUCGCAAGAACACCAGUGGCGAAGGCGGCUCACUGGCCCGGUACUGACGCUGAGGUGCGAAAGCGUGGGGAGCGAA
rnacentral:rRNA from 1 species